GACGAACGCUGGCGGCGCGCCUAACACAUGCAAGUCGAACGAGCGAGAGAGAGCUUGCUUUCUCAAGCGAGUGGCGAACGGGUGAGUAACGCGUGAGGAACCUGCCUCAAAGAGGGGGACAACAGCUGGAAACGACUGCUAAUACCGCAUAAGCCCACGACCCGGCAUCGGGCAGAGGGAAAAGGAGCAAUCCGCUUUGAGAUGGCCUCGCGUCCGAUUAGCUAGUUGGUGAGGUAACGGCCCACCAAGGCGACGAUCGGUAGCCGGACUGAGAGGUUGAACGGCCACAUUGGAACUGAGACACGGCCCAGACUCCUACGGGAGGCAGCAGUGGGGAAUAUUGCACAAUGGGGGAAACCCUGAUGCAGCGACGCCGCGUGGAGGAAGAAGGUCUUCGGAUUGUAAACUCCUGUUGUAGAGGAAGAUAAUGACGGUACUCAACAAGGAAGUGACGGCUAACUACGUG
rnacentral:rRNA from 1 species